rnacentral:tRNA from 1 species
GAGGGUAUAGCUCAGCAGUAGAGCGUGUGCUUAGCAUGCAUGAAGUCCUGGGUUCAAUCGCCAGUAUCUCCA